AUAUGUUAGGGAUGACUCUUCCCCCGUAUAUGGGGCCAGAUAUAUAUGUUAGGGCCAGUUAUAUAUGUUAGGGAUGACUCUUCCCCCGUAUAUGGGGCCAGUUAUAUAUGUUAGGGAUGACUCUUCCCCCGUAUAUGGGGCCAGUUAUAUAUGUGAGAGAUGACUCUGACGGGGAAGAGAAUGUUGUAUGGCAGGUCAUGCUUGUUUCUCUCGUUAGAAUAAUGGAAGGAACCUGUUGUGGUGUACCUGUUAACGUCAGGCUAUUGAUCUUCAUCUUUAUUGGGAUGUUUAGGGACCAAACUAAAUGUUGUUACACUUUCAAUGUAAAUAAUGUUACUAUUAUGUCUCUGUGGUGAAACAUGGGUCAUUUCAUGGUUAAAAAAUAUAUAAUAAGGAAGUAUGGUUACCGGUCACUGGUUAUAUCUGUAUAUUGUGCUUUGCAUGCAAGUAUAAACAAAUAAAAUACCAAAUAGUUUGACGUGUACCGUUCUUAUAAGGAGAGUUUAAUAUCUGUCACAGGGAGGUAAAACAUGUUAACACAGCAACUGCUGACACUUCUGCUCGGACUGAUAGACACGCCCACUUUUCUGCAUGUUCAAACAGGUGAUUGGAGAUUUGUUUCCGUGUGUAACCCAUAAGACCAUGUGAACCUCCCAGUCUGCAGCUUUCAGCUGUAUCCACACUAGGUGCACCAGUCGACAGAAAAGUCAGGUUUUGGGGAUUCAACUCGAUCCGGAGUCAGGUGGAUAGAAGAUCCUGCAACCACUUUGUCAAUUUAAAUGCAAAACAGAGAUCUGGGGAAGAGAGAUACGAUGACCCGUUCCCCUGACUUAUCUGGUCUGGGGAUCAUUCAGCUGGGAAAGACUGGAGCAGGGAUGAGUGCAACCGGAAACACCAAACAGGUGUUUAUAGAAGAGUUCUCUUCUGAGUCUGUGACGACACAAUGUGAAGAUAUCCAGAGGAUGAAGAGGACAGCUUCAGACACUACUGAAACAGGAGGAGGAGGAGGAGCAGCAGCAGGAGUAGGUGCAGC